UCUCCUAUAAAUUAUAAGCUUUUUAUGAGUUUAAUAUAGUUAUUUGGCUUUUAUGUUUUAGUGUUGUAGUUCUAAACAAUGUAAUAAAUUUUUAGAUUAUUCAAUGUAUUGCCGCUGGAAGAGGGUAUUGCUUCUGGAUGUCUUGUUGUUGGAAUAUUUCCAUUUAUCUUUGGAAGUUUUGUUGGGGAACUUGGCUCGGUGGCUGGAAUUUGAAUUACUUUUCUUGGAGUUUAAUUGGAAUUUAACAUUUUUAGAUUAUUCAAUGUAUUGCCGCUGGAAGAGGGUAUUGCUUCUGGAUGUCUUGUUGUUGGAAUAUUUCCAUUUAUCUUUGGAAGUUUUGUUGGGGAACUUGGCUCGGUGGCUGGAAUUUGAAUUACUUUUCUUGGAGUUUAAUUGGAAUUUAACUAUUGUUUUAUAUUUUGACAUUCUUUUUUUUUUUAAUUUGGGAUGUUUAUUAUGUAUUGGUGGUAAUGACAUUGAAUACUAGAUAUAUUUAUUUUGAAAUUAAUUUGUUGGAUUGAAU
rnacentral:lncRNA from 1 species